rnacentral:rRNA from 1 species
CUGCCCAGUGACCAAAAGUUAAACGGCCGCGGUACCCUAACCGUGCAAAGGUAGCACAAUCACUUGUUCUUUAAAUUAGGACUAGUAUGAACGGCCCCACGAGAGCUAUACUGUCUCCCCCCUUAAAUCAGUGAAACUGAUCUCCCCGUGAAGAAGCGAGGAUAUCACUAUAAGACGAGAAGACCCCAUGGAACUUUAACACUUGUACCACUGCCCAUGCUUACACCAACUACCCGGCAAAUAUGGCUACAAGUCUUUCGGUUGGGGCGACCACGGAGAAAAACCAAACCUCCAUGAUGAAUAUAUUAAUUAAAGAGCCACUGCUCUAAAAAUCAAUAAACUGACAUAAUUUGACCCAAACACUUUGACCAACGAACCAAGCUACCCUGGGGAUAACAGCGCAAUCCAUUUCAAGAGACCCCAUCGACAAAUGGGCUUACGACCUCGAUGUUGGAUCAGGGUAUCCCAGUGGUGCAGCCGCUACUAAUGGUUCGUUUGUUCAACGAUUAAAACCCU